rnacentral:snoRNA from 1 species
AGGGCUAAUGACAAGAUGUAUCAUGAACCAAGGAAUAUGAUGAAUCCAGUUUUUUAACCCAAAGACCGAU